AUUGAACGCUGGCGGCAGGCCUAACACAUGCAAGUCGAGCGGAGCGGCGGACGGGUGAGUAAUGCCUAGGAAUCUGCCUGGUAGUGGGGGAUCACGUCCGGAAACGGGCGCUAAUACCGCAUACUAUCAGAUGAGCCUAGGUCGGAUGAGCUAGUUGGUGGGUUACAGGCUUACCAAGGCGACGAUCCGUAACUGGUCUGAGAGGAUGAUCAGUCACACUGGAACGGAGCAACGGUCCAGACUCCGACGCGAGGCGACAGUGGGAAAUAUUGGACAAUGGGAGAAAGCCUGAUCCUGCCAUGCCGGGUGUGUGAAGAAGCUCUUCGGAGUGUAAAGCACGUUAAGUUGGGAGGCGUUACCAACAGAAUAAGCACCGGCUAACUUCGUGCCAGCAGCCGCGGUAAUAC
rnacentral:rRNA from 1 species